AUUGAACGCUGGCGGCAGGCCUAACAAAUGCAAGUCGAACGAGUGGCGGACGGGUGAGUAAUGUCUGGGAAACUGCCUGAUGGAGGGGGAUAACUACUGGAAACGGUAGCUAAUACCGCAUACCAUCAGAUGUGCCCAGAUGGGAUUAGCUAGUUGGUGGGGUAACGGCUCACCAAGGCGACGAUCCCUAGCUGGUCUGAGAGGAUGACCAGCCACACUGGAACUGGAACACUGUCCAGACUCCUACGGGAGGCUGCAGUGGGGAAUAUUGCACAAGGGGCGCAAGCCUGAUUCAGCCAGGCCGCGUGUAUGAAGAAGGCCUUCGGGUUGUAAAGUACUUGCAGCGGGGAGGCUUUACCCGCAGAAGAAUCACCGGCUAACUCCGUGCCAGCCGCCGCGGUAAUAC
rnacentral:rRNA from 1 species